rnacentral:sRNA from 1 species
UCUGUUUGUUUAUUUCCUCUACUCGUAGUACGUGUACGGGGCGAGAGUGUCUUGUAUUUUUUUUGUUUUGAAUUGUUUUUCUACGUCACAAAGUCCGGUGACAUCUAUCGGUCAUUCUUUGUCAUGAGGCAGUUCACCCUCUGAAUUUGGUUGUAACGGACGGUGUGUUGGCCCGUAAAACGUUAUUUGUCUGUACCAGUUUCUCGGACUUAUUAUUCAGUUGGAUUUUUGGGACCCCUGUUUAGGGGUGCCAGUGUUGGAGUUGUGGGCGUCGCUUGCCGUCUCACAAAUACAUAUUGCAGUUUUUUUUUCAUUGUCAUUGUCAAACUUUACUAUUACCGAGGUUGGCAGUGUUGUGACGCCAGUCGGUCAGAGUCUGGUGGACCAUAAAGCCAGGGUGACAAGUUAAUAGCCGUAGCAAAGGUGCUUAAAUUAAUUAUUGUAUAAUAUCUUUAUAUAUACCUAUUAUAUAUAUAUAUAUCUAUCUAAUAUAUAUACUGUCUAUUUGUCAUCCUCAUUGUACAUACACAUAUAUGUUUCAUACAAUUAAAUUCAUUUAUUUUUGUUGUUAUUUAAACUA